rnacentral:tRNA from 1 species
UCCCUGGUGGUCUAGUGGCUAAGACUCUGCUCUCCCAAUGCAGGGGGCCCAGAUCCAAUCCCUGGUUGGGGAA